GAAGAAAGUGGAUCCAAGCUACCAAAAGAAAGUAUACAGGCAAUAAAGCAUAAAGCAGGUAAACAGACAAUAAAGCAUAAAGCAAGUAAACAAACACAAUAAAGCACAUAAAGCAGGUAAAAAGGCACAAAGCAAGUAUACAGGCAAUAAAGCAUAAAGUAAGUAAACAGACAAUAAAGCAAUAAAGCAGGUAAACAGACAAUAAAGCAUAAAGCAU